AAGUCGUAACAAGGUUUCCGUAGGUGAACCUGCGGAAGGAUCAUUAUUGAAAAUUAGGAUGCUCUCUUUAGAGGUCCGACCCUUUCAUUCCACACACCGUGAACUACGCUGUUUUACACACACUUUAAAUUCGUGAUGUAUAAGAAUGUAUACCGUCUCUUAAUUGAGCUUAAAAAGUUAUUACAACUUUCGGCAACGGAUCUCUUGGCUCUC
rnacentral:misc_RNA from 1 species